rnacentral:rRNA from 1 species
AAAGAAAAAUUUAUUUUAUUUUUAUUUUUUAUUUAUUUUAUAAUAAAAAAAUAUUUUUUAGUAAAAAGAAAGAAAAAUUUUAAUAUAAUGAUAGUUUAUUAGUAUUGUGAGAGAAUAUAUUAUUUUUAUAAAAGAAAAAUUUAUUUUUUGUACCUUGUGUAUCAGGGGUUAUUAAUUAAUAAUUAUGUAUUUAUUAUUUUCGAAUUUAAAAGAGCUAAAAAAUUAAAAUUUUUAUUGUAAAAUAAAUAUUUUAAAUAUUUUUUUUGUAAUGAAAUGUUAUUCGUUUUUAAAUAUAUCUAAUUUUUUAAGAAAUAAAUUAAAUUUAUUUAUUAACAAUAUAUUUAUAAUUAAAUAUUUCUAUAUUAUUAAUAUUAAAUAUUUUUAGGGAUGAGCUUAAAAAUAGAAUUUUAUUAAAAUUUGAUUUUUAAAUAAAAAUUAGGAUUAAAAAUUUUCAUAUUUUAAAGUAUGUUAUUAUUUAUUUUUAUAUAUUAUUAUUUUUAUUUUUUAUAAAUUUUUUAUUAAAAUAUAAAUUUAAAUUAUUUAAAUUUAGUAAUGAUGAUAAUAUUAGUAUUAUAAAAUUGUAUAUUUAAUAGAAAUAUAUAGGUUAAAUAAAGGAAUUCGGCAAUAUUUUUUUCACCUGUUUAAUAAAAACAUGUCUUUUUGUAUUAAAUAUGAAGUCUCGCCUGCCCACUGAUUAAUUUGAAUGGCCGCGGUAUUUUGACCGUGCUAAGGUAGCAUAAUCAUUAGUUUUUUUAUUGAAAGCUGGAAUGAAGGGUUGGAUGAAAAAAAAACUGUCUUUAUUUAAUUUAAAAAGAAUUUUAUUUUUAAGUUAAAAAGCUUAAAUUUUUUUAAAAGACGAGAAGACCCUUUAGAGUUUAAUAAAAUUAUUAAUAAUUUUUUUUAGUAUUAAAUUUAUUUAUAUAAUAAAUUUAUUUAAUUGGGGUGAUUAAAAAAUAAAUUUAACUUUUUUUAUAUUAUUAUAUUAAUUAAUAAUUUUUUGAUCCAAUUUUUUUGAUUAUAAGAUUAAAUUACCUUAGGGAUAACAGCGUAAUUUUAUUGGAGAGUUCAAAUCGAUAAUAAAGAUUGCGACCUCGAUGUUGGAUUAAAGUUUAUAAUUGGUGCAGAAGCUAUAUUAUUAAGUCUGUUCGACUUUUAAAAUUUUACAUGAUCUGAGUUUAAACCGGUGUAAGCCAGGUUGGUUUCUAUCUUUAAUUUGUUAAUAUAUUUUAGUACGAAAGGACCAAAUAUA